GGGGACGUGACACAAUUGGAUUCAGCCAACCGGUCUCCAAAACCGAGUUGUGAGCGUUCGAAUCGCUCCGUUCCCACCA
rnacentral:tRNA from 1 species